rnacentral:rRNA from 1 species
GAGUCUGGAUGAAAGGUUAAACGUGGAUUAUUGUCUCUUAUAAAGUAGAUUAAUUUGUAUUUUAGGUAAAAUUACUUAAAUUUUUCUAAGGGACGAUAAGACCCUAAAAGCUUUAUAAGAUAAAAAAAGUUUUGUUAGAUGAAAGAUAUAUUUUACUGGGGUAGUAGCUUUAGAAAAACUAGGGUGGGUAAAACUAUUUAGGUUAAAGUUCCUUAAUAUUAGGAUAUAUAGUAUAAGUUACUUUAGGGAUAACAGCGUAAUAAUUUUUUAGAGUUCUUAUCAAUGAAGUUGAUUGCGACCUCGAUGUUGAAUUAAGAUAAUUUUUAAUGCAGAAGUUAGGGUAAAUAGGUUUGUUCAACCUUUAAAUUCUUACAUGAUCUGAGUUCAAACCGG